rnacentral:rRNA from 1 species
AUUGAACGCUGGCGGCGGGCCUAACACAUGCAAGUCGAACGAGUGGCGGACGGGUGCGGAAUGUCUGGGCAACUGCCUGAUGGAGGGGGAUGACUACUGGAAACGGUAACUAAUACCGCAUACCAUAAGAUGUUCCCAGGUGGGAGUAGCUGGUUGGUGGGGUAACGGCUAACCAAGGCGACGAUCCCUAGCUGGGCUGAGAGGAUGACCGGCCACACUGGAACUGAGACACGGUCCAGACUCCUACGGGAGGCAGCAGUGGGGAAUAUUGCACAAUGGGCGCAAGCCUGAUGCAGCCAUGCCGCGUGUAUGAAGAAGGCCUUCGGGUUGUAAAGUACUUUCAGCGGGGAGGCGGUACCCGCAGAAGAAGCACCGGCUAACUCCGUGCCAGCAGCCGCGGGAAUAC